rnacentral:rRNA from 1 species
ACGGAAGGCAGCAGUGAGGAAUAUUGGUCAAUGGUCGCGAGACUGAACCAGCCAAGUAGCGUGUAGGAAGACUGCCCUAUGGGUUGUAAACUACUUUUAUGUGGGGAUAAAAGACUUUACGUGUAGAGUUUUGCAGGUACCACAUGAAUAAGCAUCGGCUAAUUCCGUGCCAGCAGCCGCGGUAAUACGGAAGAUGCGAGCGUUAUCCGGAUUUAUUGGGUUUAAAGGGAGCGUAGGCCGCCUGGUAAGCGUGUUGUGAAAUGUAGGUGCUCAACAUCUGCACUGCAGCGCGAACUGCCGGGCUUGAGUACGCGGAAAGUGGGCGGAAUUCGUCGUGUAGCGGUGAAAUGCUUAGAUAUGACGAAGAACUCCGAUUGCGAAGGCAGCUCACUGUAGCGCAACUGACGCUAAUGCUCGAAAGCGCGGGUAUCGAACAGGAUUAGAUACCCUGGUA